UGAAAUGCGAUACGUAAUGUGAAUUGCAGAAUCUCGUGAAUCAUUGAAUCUUUGAACGCAUAUUGCGCCCUAUGGUAUUCCGUAGGGCAUGCCUGUCUGAGCGUCAGCUUCCUUCUCAAGUAUUCAUUUCCCCAUUUUGCGGGAAAAAUAAACUUGGAUUACCUUGGAUAAGCCAUUGGCCAAAAGUGAAUAAUGGCUGUCCAGAAAAUCAUAGGCAGUAUGGGUGUCUUCCAGACUGAACGUAAUAAUAUAUUUAAUAAAAAGCGUUUAUCUGAAGCCUCUGUACUUGUCUUUCAAUCCACGUAUAAAAAAAAAAAAAAAAUUUUUUUUUUUGGGUCGACCUCAGAUCAGGUAGGGAUACCCGCUGAACUUAA
rnacentral:misc_RNA from 1 species